rnacentral:lncRNA from 1 species
UGUGCAUCAAUCAACCUAGGGAAGAGGGACCAAAAUAGCUGAUUACUUGGGCCAUAACACGCUAUCCUCGGAAUGAAACCCAAACUUUUCAGGGAGAAAUACAAGCAAACAUCAAGAAAAGAGGAGUCACCGUGACCCAUGCAGUACUCUCCCUGACACAUAGUCGAGGAUCAGAUAGCUCACAGGUAAUAAAUAGUUUCUUUGUAAAUAUAGAACAACUAUUCUCUUGCUUGAAUGUCCAUGCAGGGUGUA